AGCGAACGCUGGCGGCAGGCUUAACACAUGCAAGUCGAGCGGGCACUCUCUGGUGUCAGCGGCUGACGGGUGAGUAACGCGUGGGAACGUGCCCUCUGGUUCGGAAUAACUCAGGGAAACUUGAGCUAAUACCGGAUACGCCCCUUUGGCGAAAGGCUUGCUACCGGAGGAUCGGCCCGCGUCUGAUUAGCUAGUUGGUUAGGUAACGGCUCACCAAGGCGACGAUCAGUAGCUGGUCUGAGAGGAUGAUCAGCCACACUGGGACUGAGACACGGCCCAGACUCCUACGGGAGGCAGCAGUGGGGAAUAUUGGAAAAUGGGCGCAAGCCUGAUCCAGCCAUGGCGGGUGAGUGAUGAAGGCGUUAGGGUUGUAAAGCUCUUUUAUCCGGGACGAUGAUGACGGUACCGGAGGAAUAAGCCCCGGCUAACUUCGUG
rnacentral:rRNA from 1 species